rnacentral:rRNA from 1 species
GCGCACCAGUCGCGAAAACUUUACAAUGUGCGAAAGCACGAUAAGGGAACUCUGAGUGCCUCCUAAGGAGGCUGUUCAGGUGUCUAAAAAGCACCUGAAGGAAGGGCUGGGUAAGACCGGUGCCAGCCGCCGCGGUAACACCGGCAGCCCAAGUGGUAGCCACGUUUAUUGGGUCUAAAGCGUCCGUAGCCGGCUGGGUAAGUUCCUUGGGAAAUUUGGCUGCUUAAACAGUCAAGCUUUCAGGGAAUACCGCUCGGCUUGGGACCGGGAGACGGUCAGAGGUACUCCAGGGGUAGGGGUGAAAUCCAUUAAUCCUUGGGGGACCACCGGUAGCGAAGGCGUCUGACCAGACCGGGUCCGACGGUGAGGGACGAAGGCUAGGGGC